rnacentral:rRNA from 1 species
GACGAACCGUGCGAACGUUGUUCGGAUUCACUGGGCUUAAAGGGCGCGUAGGCGGGCUGUCAAGUCUGUGGUGAAAGCCUCCGGCUUAACCGGAGAAGUGCCGCGGAUACUGACGGUCUUGAGGGGUGUAGGGGCAUGCGGAACUUCCGGUGGAGCGGUGAAAUGCGUAGAUAUCGGAAGGAACGCCGGUGGCGAAAGCGGCGUGCUGGACACCUACUGACGCUGAGGCGCGAAAGCCAGGGGAGCAAACGGG